rnacentral:rRNA from 1 species
CACGUAGUUAGCCGGUGCUUCUUAUCUAGGUACCGUCACAAAAAAGCUUCGUCCCUAGCGAAAGGAGUUUACAACCCGAAGGCCUUCAUCCCCCACGCGGCGUCGCUGCAUCAGGCUUGCGCCCAUUGUGCAAUAUUCCCCACUGCUGCCUCCCGUAGGAGUCUGGGCCGUAUCUCAGUCCCAAUGUGGCCGUACACCCCCUCAGGCCGGCUACCCGUCGCCGCCUUGGUAGGCCAUUACCCCACCAACAAGCUGAUAGGCCGCGAGCUCAUCCUACACCGAAAAAACUUUCCAACCACCACACUAAAGAUGGCUCCUAUCCGGUAUUAGACCCAGUUUCCCAAGCUUAUCCCGAAGUGCAGGGCAGAUCACCCACGUGUUACUCACCCGUUCGCCACUCGAGUACCCUGCAAGCAGGGCCUUUCCGUCGACUUGCAUGUGUUAAGCACGCCGCCAGCGUUCGUCCUGAGCCAGGAUCAAACUCU